AUUGAACGCUGGCGGAAUGCUUUACACAUGCAAGUCGAACGGUAGAGGGGGCAACCCCUCGAGAGUGGCGAACGGGUGAGUAAUAUAUCGGAACGUGCCCAGUCGUGGGGGAUAACGUAGCGAAAGUUACGCUAAUACCGCAUACGAUCUAAGGAUGAAAGCGGGGGAUCGCACGACCUCGCGCGAUUGGAGCGGCCGAUAUCAGAUUAGGUAGUUGGUGGGGUAAAGGCUCACCAAGCCAACGAUCUGUAGCUGGUCUGAGAGGACGACCAGCCACACUGGAACUGAGACACGGUCCAGACUCCUACGGGAGGCAGCAGUGGGGAAUUUUGGACAAUGGACGCAAGUCUGAUCUAGCCAUUCCGCGUGCAGGAUGAAGACCCUCGGGUUGUAAACUGCUUUUGUACGGAACGAAAAGGUCUCUCUUAAUACGGGGGACUCAUGACGGUACCGUAAGAAUAAGCACCGGCUAACUACGUGCCAGCCGCCGCGGUAA
rnacentral:rRNA from 1 species